GUGAAUUUGGAAUUAUAUAUCAAACAGAACUGUGUUCAUAGUAGCCCUGAGACAUUACCUGGGUCAUACAUCCCAAUGUGACUUAAUGCAGUCUUGGGUGUUUAAGAGGGAGGCAGAGAAGACUUGACACAGAAAAGAAUGAAGCAACGUGACAGCAGACACAGAAAUUGUACUGGUGCUACCAUUAGCCACGAGGUGAUGGCAGGUACUAGAUGCUGACAAAGGAAAAGACAAAGAGUUCUUGCCUAGAUCUUCAUGGAGUGCUGUUCUGCAGACACCCCAGAUUCAGCCUAGUGUACUGCAUUUGAAUUCUGUCCCCCAGAGCUAAGAGACAAAUUCAUGCUUGUUUGUUUAGAAUUGGGCAAGGAUAUAUUUUAUUUUUUCACAAAAAUAUUUUUUUCCUUAACUUAAAAACAGUUUCAGAAAGCAAUCUUCAGGUUGUUAUAAUUCAUUACACAUUUUACAAAUAGUAGAGAGAAGCAGACAAUAGGAUGACAGAGUGUGAAGCAACAGAGCCCUCCCUUCAGAAGCUUAACUCUGUCCUUCAGCACCUUAAAGGUGGGGUUCCUGCUGAUCUUCCCGUUGAAGAUGGCCAGGAGCUCCUCCUCCGAUGUGUGAUGGUCACUCAUUACCGCAUGGUACUCAGCUAUAACCUUUUCUUUAGCUUCUUGACUGACACGUUGUUCAGUCUGGAGCCUGUUGCAGAACAGCUUUAAUGGUCCCUUUCCAGUUGAAUGAAUUUACCUUUUGAUGGAGCCUCGUGGUCCUCCGGCUCUCCCUCUUCAGGUUGCCCUGGCAACUUCAUCUUUUUUUUUUCCUUGUAAUCAGACUCAACUUCUGAGUGCUUCUGCUGCUUCUGUUUUCCUGCUGCUGUCUUGGUCUGCCCCUCAUUAGCAUCCUACCCAGGGUCCCCAGGUCUGUCUGCCCCCUCUUCAGAAGCCUGUCCACUAUGGGCUCUCUUCUUCUCUGGUGUGCCGUUGGCAUCGGUGGCGUCCUCCCCACCAGCCUCAUGUUCGGUCUUCUGGCCCUUUUUGUGCUUCUUUGGCUUUUGGCCCCUCUGGUGUUCCUGGUGGUUUUCUAACUUUAGCUCUUUCUUCUUGUUUUUCUGUCGUUCCUUCUUCCUUUCUCUUUUAUUAUUAUUAUUAUUAUUAUUAUUAUUAUUAUUAUUAUUUAUUAUUUGCCUCUGCUCUUCUGUGGUGCCAUUUGAUUUUGCAGAUGGAACCUUAGUGGGGAUCUCUGCAUGUGGUUUGGCUAUAUGGCUGAGUGGCUUGGGGUGGCUGAGCGAACCGGUGGCGGUGCUGUGCUGGGCGGCUACGGCUCCACAUGCUCCCGACCGCCGGUUGAGACCGUUGGCGGGGUCGACUGAAAGGAUUGUAGAAGAGUUGGAGUCAUCAUUGAAUGACGUUUCCUGUGCACCAGUCUCAUCUCCAUAUAACACAGAUAAUGACUUCUUAUGUUAAAGGGUAUGAAUCAGUUACCUGAUGAGAGGACUUUAGUUAUACAGUCAGAUGUCAGGAAACACUCAGAGGAAAGCACUCUUCAUCACAGAAUUAAAUAAAAAGCCUGUUAUCAAGAGUUAUCCCA
ensembl:lncRNA